rnacentral:ncRNA from 1 species
UGGAGGCCCGCAGCGAUACUGACGUGCAAAUCGUUCGCCUGACUUGGGUAUAGGGGCGAAAGACUAAUCGAACCAUCUAGUAGCAGGUUCCCUCUGAAGUUUCCCUCAGGAUAGCUGGAGCCCUUAGCGAGUUCUAUCUGGUAAAGCCAAUGAUUCGAGGCAUCGGGGGCGCAACGCCCUCGACCUAUUCUCAAACUGUAAAUAGGUAGGACGGUGUGGCUGCUUCGUUGAGCCGCGCCACGGAAUCGAGAGCUCUAAGUGGGCCAUUUUUGGUAAGCAGAACUGGCGAUG